UAUCAAGCUAGACAGCUGAAACCCACAGUGCUUUGCUCAAGAUGAGAGACACACAGAGGCCUGUGUCCUGACUAGCCCAAAUGGAAGUUCUUUCUGAUAAAAGGAUCUUCCUAGACUCCUGGUAGGAUGGCCCUUCAUUUGCAGCAGUUAUAAUGGUGCAGGGAGGGGCCAUCGUGUCCGUGUCCAGGUCACGUUGGCCUAGGUUGUCCCUGUGGAGGAAAUGACUACAAGUGUUUUCAACCAUAUCCACUCAACCAACCACUCAAUAUUGCGGCUGACGUGAAAGAAGGAGAAAGAAUGUGUCUGCGUAUUGAUUGUGCAGUUUCUGCUCAAAGUGAAUCAGCUUUGCCCAGUCAUCCUUCAGAGUCUUCAUCCUGCUGAGUAGCUAUUAAUGGAUCCCUGGGAAAGGAGACUGGUUAGAUAGAGCAAGUCAGAUCUCAGAGCAAGAUGGGAUCUCUGUCUCAGCUGUUGUGCUUUCAGCUGCCCUGUGUCCCACCUGAGAAGAGGAAGAUGGGAGGGAAGUGAUACCCUGAGUAUCCUUCCCAUGGAUGCUGGGGUUGGGAGUCACAGAAGGUCUUAUCACAUUAGGUAUGUGCCUGAGGAGAACUUUCUCUAAGAAUCUGAUCAUCCAAAAGUACUUCCUUUGAAAAUUCAAAUAUAUGCACAUAUUCACAUGGAUUAAAUUAAGUUCUGUAUUUGCGCUGACUUCUGCAUAUCUUAUGAAAUUGCAGAUUGUCAAAUGGAUAAUACCAGGAUGCGGUCUCUAGCCUCUCUGACUCCCAGGGGAGAGAACCAUCAUUACCCAUAAAAUAAAUCCUGAUGACAUAA